UACGUAGGGACCAAGCGUUGUUCGGAUUUACUGGGCGUAAAGGGCGCGUAGGCGGCAUGACAAGUCACUUGUGAAAUCUCCGGGCUUAACUCGGAAAGGUCAACUGAUACUGUGAGACUAGAGUGCGGAAGGGGCAACUGGAAUUCUCGGUGUAGCGGUGAAAUGCGUAGAUAUCGAGAGGAACACCUGCGGCGAAGGCGGGUUGCUGGGCCGACACUGACGCUGAUGCGCGAAAGCCAGGGGAGCGAACGGG
rnacentral:rRNA from 1 species